rnacentral:misc_RNA from 1 species
GUCAGGCACCUUGCUGUUCCGACUGCGCAGCAUCUCUCCGCUCGUCUCUCGUACGCCUUCGUCGAGGCUUCCUACGCAGCGUUGCUCAUCUCGUUUUCUCGUACACGAGCGUGACGUCAUGCUGCAAGUUGCACAGGAGUAACCGACCGUGGGAAGGGGACCAGGGGGGAGUAGUUACGUGGGGAUACAAAACGAGCGAACUCUGGCGCGCGCGCGCACCAGAGAGCCGCAGCGUCGAUGGAUUUGCUGUUAGCUGUAUGCAGCGGGCUGCAUGCAGAAUACACACGCGGUGACAUCGUCGUGGCUAUUACUUUAUGGUUGCACAAGAUUAGACGAGUUUAUCGUUGCACGACAAAACCAUAUAAAUCUCGCCACGACGGAAAAAGGGUGUACGGCCAAUACAGGCCGCAUUUUGUUUUCUCGACAAUGCGAGACGUAUUGCGAUUCCAUCUUCUACGCCGCCUCGCGUAUCCUCCGAAGAGAAAAUGUACUUGUCGGCUUGUGAACUUGGAUGGAACGUUGUGUAUGCGUUUACGUGUUCUUUUGUCAGGACUCGUGAGAAAGCGUUCCACAAUGACACGGUCAUACUCAUACUUCUUGCGGAAAGGAAUGAGUUAGCAGCAGGCCGAAUGCCAGGAUGUUCAUGAAAUGCUUUAUAUUUUGAAACGUUCUUCGCGUUGAUGUCUUUAUUUUAUUAAGUUGUUGCAAUUGUUUGCUCGCAUAUCGUACAUGUAGUUCAAAAGAAAUUAAAAAUUAAAUUUUAUUGCAUAUAUAUAAAUUUAUGUAGAAUAAUAAGAAAAUAAAAUUAAAAAAUAAAUAAAUAAAUAAAUAAAAACGCAAAUUAAACAGAAAUAGUACGUAUUCUAAAACGAAGUAACUUAACCUAACUCUCGUUAAUCACGUACGACCUACGACUACGACCUAACGUUACCAAUUGAGGUUAAAAAAGACU